CAUCCUCCGUUAGUACUUUCUUUUCACAUACCUCUGAGCAGCUACAAAAGACAGGUCCCUGCAAGGAACAGGAAGGACAGGUGUUUUCACAUGGUUUCACGCUGUUUCUUUGUGGCCCUGCUGGCCCUGGUGGUGUUGGCUCUGGAACAGUCCCCAGACACAGCCAUAUGGCAAGGACAAUCCGUGAAUCUGAGCUGCUCCAAAAUGAAGUCCUCCUAUACAACGAUGUACUGGUACAAGAUGCCUUUGGGGAAUGACUCUGGGCUGAUCCUAGUGGCUACUGCAAUAAAAGAGAAGAAUGAUGUAAUCAUACCACCAGCUGUGGCCAUCUUUUCCCCAUCAAAGCAAGAGAUCCAAGAGAAGAGCAAGGCCACACUGGUAUGCCUGGCCUCUGGUUUCUACCCCGACAACCUCAAUCUAGUCUGGAAGGUGAAUGGUGCUGACAGGACAGAAGGGGUGGGGACAGAUGAGACUUCCACAUCAUAUGCGAAUACUUAUUCACUGACCAGCCGACUGAGAAUCUCAGCCCAAGAAUGGUUCAACCCUUUGAAUCGUUUUGAGUGUGUUGCCAAUUUUUUUAAGAAUGAAACACAGGAAUCAAUACACAAAUUCAUCUAUGGUGAUGCUGGAUGUGCGCUUACUGAAGAGUUCUACAUGCUGCAUGGAAAUUCUCUGAAGCUCACUUACCUCAUUCUCUGUGGGAAAGCCUUCUUGUAUGCUAUUUUGGUGUGCACUCUGAUGUUGACAGCCAAGGCUGGUGGCACACUGUACACAGAAUGAAUGAAUAACCCUCUCCAUUGCAUCAGCAGGACCAAAGCAAAUUCAAUUUUUUACUGUAUAAAGGAUCCAGGCUUCUGUCUAAGAUCUUGUUUCUUGUGUUUCUCUGUUCCCUCCUGUUCUUUCUAAUUUGUUGUAAUCACUGGUGGGUUUUCCAUGGACAUCCAAAAAUAUCUCUGUCAUAGCUUUAAAACACCUUCUUGUUGAUUAGAGAGUUCCAUCAAGUUGCAUCAGCUCCUUGAAUUGGGAAUAAAGUUUUAUCUUCAUUCCAUUUGAGAAGCUUGAAUUGAUUAU